UACAUUUUUACUUUUUUUCUAAUAGAACAUACACCCUCUUUUAGUUAUUUACCUAGCUAUUAGUGGAUAGGUUAUUGUUAGAAUACUACAGCUAUUAUAAAUGUAAUCAUAUUGUACCUGUCUAACUAUCAAUAAUUUAUUUUGUUCUCAGUUAGAUUUUAUGUUUUUCUUUCACUUCUAUUAUGGUAUCAAGAGCUUCAUUUUUCGAGAAUUCAUAGUGGCGUCAGAUCUCCAAUUCUUCUUUCCUGCACACUCCACUGACGUUGUUUCCGGUGCGUUCGCCAUCACACACAAUUGAAUGGUUUCGUGCCUCCAACGAGUUAUGAAAAUCACACUUAUACCCCUCACGCUCUAACGUCUAAAGAAGCAGUGCAAGACGAUGACAUGAAGACAACAUCUACAAAGAAGAGACUGGUCAAAGCUGCAAGAUAAGCUGGACAACUAGAAGAAAGAAAAGUCAAAGCUACAAGGCAGACGGUACAAGCAAACUAAUGUCAUUCCUGCCAGAUCGUCUAACUGAAAAAAUGAAAAGGAUAUUCAAAGCAACAAUGCAACUACACUAGCAAGAAAGUAUCAAGUCUGCUAGCCUGUCUUUUCAAAGGAAGUAAAAAUCAAGACUCAAGAUGGUCCGCGCAAAGAAAGUCAAAGCAUCAAGAUCAUCUAGGCAAGAAGAGUCAAAGGGUGAGACGAUACAAGCAAGGAAAGUUAUAUCAGCAAAAUCGUCUAAAGUCAACAAGAGAAGAAUGACCAAGGGGCAAGACAAUCUACACAAGUAGAGUCGAAUCGUCAAGACUGUCUUGGAAGAAGACAAAGCUUCAAGUCAACAAAUGCAAGAUCAAGUGAAGCUAUUAGAUCGUCUAAGAAGACUGCACUCAACGUGUACGUUCAAGCGUCUAUCUCAAGGCUGACCAACUGAAGCAAUGUUAAGAGAAAAGAGCACCAUACUCAAAUGGAAAGAGAAAUGUUCAAGCGUCUAUCUCAGGACAUUCUUGAUGUUGUUCAUAUUUUCUUAACUGUCUACAUUUUAGCUAAGAUGUUUUAUCUGUCAAGAUGUGCGACCAAAUGCUGCAGCAUCUGGUGCAACAUUUUCCCCUGCGUAGCUGCUGUGUGUUGUGUGCGUUUUCUAAAAGCUUUGGAUUGUUUUUCGUGAUCAACAAGUUAGGGUUGUUGAAGAA